CAGGGCUGAGUUCAACCCCGGGGUUGAAAUUUCAACCCUGUUAGCUGAAGCAGGGUUGAAAUUUCAACCCGGGGUGAAAUUUCAACCCUGCUAGCUGAAGCAGGGUUGAAAUUUCAACCCCGGGGUGAACUCAGCCCUG